UCGUAGAGGUGGGGUUUAGCCAAGAUGUUAGCCAAGAUGUUCUGGAUCUCCUGACCUUGUGAUCCACCCGCCUCAGCCUCCCAAAGUGCUAGGAUUGCAGGUGUGAGUCACUGUCCUCAGCCUAUUUAUUUUAUUUUAUUUAUUGUUUUUGGAGACAGAGUUUCACUCUGUUGCCCAGGCUAUAGUGCAGUGGUGCAAUCUUGGCUCACUGCAACCUCCACCUCCUGGGCUCAAGUGGUUCUCAUGCCUCAGCCUC
rnacentral:lncRNA from 1 species